UACGAAGGGUGCAAGCGUUGCUCGGAAUUAUUGGGCGUAAAGGGUUGGUAGGUGGUUACGUAUGUCUGGGGUGAAAUCCCUGAGCUCAACUCAGGACGUGCCUUGGAAACGGCGUAACUAGAGUGCUAGAGAGGUUCGUGGAAUUCCAGGUGUAGCGGUGAAAUGCGUAGAGAUCAGGAGGAACAUCAGAG
rnacentral:rRNA from 1 species